CAUCGUGGUACAGGAAGCCUGCGGGAGUGUGAGGCAGAGCAUGAUGGUACAGGAAGCUUUUGUCUGUGUGAAGCAGAACAUCAUGAUAUGGGAAGUUUGUGUCUGGUGAGAUGGAUAAUCAUGAUAGAAAAGCUUCUUUCUGUAUGAGGGAGAGCAUCAUGAUACAGGAAGCUUCUGUCAGAGGGAGAGCAUCUUGGUACAGGAAGCUUGUGGUGGUAUGAAGCAGAGCAUCAUGGUACUGAAAACCAUGGCGGUGUAAGGCACAGUUUCCACCGUCUUCUAAAAUAGUGCCCACCAGUUGGUGACAACCUAGUCAGCGCAUGAGCCAGUGAGGACAUUUCACAUUUCAGCCCUAACAGUUUCUACCACAUUUAGUCACACUGGUCACACCAGAAUAGCCUUGAUUAUUCAUUGUGCCUAAGGGCAUGGGUUCUCAUUAGAGAGCCUAGAUUUAUUCGUUCCAAGCAACUCCCUUUUCUGUUCUCUCGCAAAGUCCCAAACUGAAAGGACUUUUCUGGCCAUUACACACCAGAACUCGGUCACACCUUUUACCUACUGGGGUCAGAGUUCUGAUGCUGAGACUAAAAAAUGCCAGGAAGCAACCUCCCCCCAUGUAUUUCUGAGUUACCCACAGUAGCCUCCACUGGGGACCUUGGGUUCUAGUGAUUUGCCACCUCUCUGGUGGGCAUCACUGUGCUGAUGCUGACUUUCCUGUUUGGCACGUUGAUAUGAUAGUAAGGAUGCCCAGUGCCCACAGGUAACAUGUAUGCCUGACAUUGCUCCGAAGGAUUACAGACAUUAACCCCUUUUGUCUGGAUGACAGUCUUGCAAGCUGGGAGCUAUGAUGAUCCCCAUUUUUCAGGCACAUCUAUCCUGUGUCAGGCGGUAACCGCAUUUGAAGGAAACACUAGAGCCUUGUCUCUAGGAUCACUGUCUCUCCUUCUCCUCAGGGACUGAGGCUGCAGAAUCACUGCUGUUAAAAUGGACUCUCUCCUUCCUGGCUAGACAGGAGAAGCCGGUUCUCUCAUCAGGAGCCGUCUCAGGAUGACUGCAGUUCACAGAUCCUCUGUGAGGACAGCGAUUGGUGACAAGAGCCAUCAGAGCAAGGGGCAGGCUGACAGGAGUGAGGGCAAAGUGGAGCCAGCCCAAAGGGGCUCAUUAGCUCAGCAUU
rnacentral:sRNA from 1 species